rnacentral:rRNA from 1 species
UACGGGGGGGGCAAGCGUUGUUCGGAAUUACUGGGCGUAAAGGGGUCGUAGGCGGCCAACUAAGUCAGACGUGAAAUCCCUCGGCUUAACCGGGGAACGGCCUCUGAUACUGGCUGGCUGGAGUUCGGGAGAGGGAUGCGGAAUUCCAGGUGUAGCGGUGAAAUGCGUAGAUAUCUGGAGGAACACCGGUGGCGAAGGCGGCAUCCUGGACCGACACUGACGCUGAGGAGCGAAAGCCAGGGGAGCAAACGGG